AUGUAACCGCCAUGGGGUAGGAAGCCCGGAACUAUUCUCCGGACAAGCACUGUGUGCUUCAAACCCCGGAGUGCUCCUGGGCAGGAGAGCCACGAGGUCAAUACGCUUGCCAAGGAGACUCCAGCUGACCCCACAAAAGGCUCCGGAGCCUUUCAGAGUUGCCCUGCACUGAGCCAAGAGGGAUCCUAUUUCUGUCGCGACACAGGCUGUGCCAGGCAAUCCAGGGGUGCUGCUCCCACACUUGACCUCGAUGUAACCUGAAGGUGCACCCCAAGCUUCCAAGAGAAAUACUUCAGAUGGUCAAAAAUCAAAAUAAAAACUGGCAACUGGGAAAACAAGAAGGCUCAUCAGUAAAAGAACCUGCUGCACAAGCCUCAAGACCUGAGUUCAAAUCCCUGGAAUCAAUGCUGGAGGGAGAGACCCAGUUCCUGAAAGUUGCUUCUAACCUCCACCUGUAGAUGCUCUGUGUGUGUGUGUGUGUGUGUGUGUGUGCGCGCGCGCACGCACAUGAAAAUAUAAAUAAACAAAUAUUGACAGCUUA